rnacentral:tRNA from 1 species
GCGGGUGUAGUUCAAUGGUAGAACUUUAGCUUCCCAAGCUGAUAGCGUGGGUUCGAUUCCCAUCACCCGCUCCA